rnacentral:rRNA from 1 species
UACGGAAGGCAGCAGUGGGGAAUAUUGCACAAUGGGCGCAAGCCUGAUGCAGCCAUGCCGCGUGUGUGAAGAAGGCCUUCGGGUUGUAAAGCACUUUUGUCCGGAAAGAAAAGCUUAGGGUUAAUAACCUUGAGUCAUGACGGUACCGGAAGAAUAAGCACCGGCUAACUUCGUGCCAGCAGCCGCGGUAAUACGAAGGGUGCAAGCGUUACUCGGAAUUACUGGGCGUAAAGCGUGCGUAGGUGGUUUGUUAAGUCUGAUGUGAAAGCCCUGGGCUCAACCUGGGAAUGGCAUUGGAAACUGGCUUACUAGAGUGCGGUAGAGGGGUGUGGAAUUCCCGGUGUAGCAGUGAAAUGCGUAGAUAUCGGGAGGAACAUCUGUGGCGAAGGCGACACCCUGGGACCAGCACUGACACUGAGGCACGAAAGCGUGGGGAGCAAACAGGAUUAGAUAACC